rnacentral:misc_RNA from 1 species
GGAAGUAAAAGUCUAACAAGGUUUCCGUAGGUGAACCUGCGGAAGGAUCAUUAUUGUAUAACCGAGGUGCGAGGGCUGUCGCUGACCCGAAAGGUCGUGCACGCCCGAGUGCCCUCACACACAUCCAUCUCACCCCUAUGUGCACCACCGCGUGGGUCCCCCUUUGGCUUGUUCGGAGGGGGGCUUACGUUUUCACACAAACUUUGUAUGCAGUGUAGAAUGUAUUUUUUGUUUUUGCGAUCACGCAAUCAAUACAACUUUCAAUAACGGAUCUCUUGGCUCUC